rnacentral:tRNA from 1 species
GGUUUCAUAGUGUAGUGGUUAUCACGUCUGCUUUACACGCAGAAGGUCCUGGGUUCGAUCUCCAGUGAAACCA